AUUUUUGGAACACCAAAAUAAGAGGAAAGAUUAAGGUGGUGGAGAUGGAACUCACUAAGUGAAGAUCGGAGGUGGAUGAAGAACAUUUCAGAUUGAAGGAGCAACAAGUGCAAAAUUCUGAGAAAGAUUUACUAACUUAGAGCAACCGAGGAAAGGAGAGUAUAGCUGAAAUAUAGUGAGAAAGGGAUAAGGUGUACAAGUGUAGUCUGAGAUUUGUGCAAGAACCUUAUGUUUGGCCUUGUAGAGCUUCAAAGGACAAUCAGACUGGAAGAUGUUGACAUGUUUUAAACAGGUAAUCCACGUACUUUUUGAAAAUGAUUUAUGAAUAUAUGAUGUUCUGAAAUUCAGAAAAAAAGUGUUUCAGUAAGUCAAGAGUGUUUGACUAUGUAACACACGACUGCGAAGUGAAGCAAAAAGAGAGACAGAAGAGACUGUAAAUUUGGCAACAUGGAGAUUAUUGACAAGGUCUUGAUAAGAGCUUUUCAUUUGAGUCUAGAGGGUGAAAACUCAGUUGAAAUGAGUUGAAGAUAGGAUAGGUGUUGCA
rnacentral:lncRNA from 10 species